AGUGAACGCUGGCGGUAGGCCUAACACAUGCAAGUCGAACGGCAGCACAGUAAGGGCUUGCUCUUACGGGUGGCGAGUGGCGGACGGGUGAGGAAUACAUCGGAAUCUACUUUUUCGUGGGGGAUAACGUAGGGAAACUUACGCUAAUACCGCAUACGACCUACGGGUGAAAGCAGGGGAUCUUCGGACUUUGCGCGAUUGAAUGAGCCGAUGUCGGAUUAGCUAGUUGGCGGGGUAAAGGCCCACCAAGGCGACGAUCCGUAGCUGGUCUGAGAGGAUGAUCAGCCACACUGGAACUGAGACACGGUCCAGACUCCUACGGGAGGCAGCAGUGGGGAAUAUUGGACAAUGGGCGCAAGCCUGAUCCAGCCAUACCGCGUGGGUGAAGAAGGCCUUCGGGUUGUAAAGCCCUUUUGUUGGGAAAGAAAAGCAGCAGGUUAAUACCCCGCUGUUCUGACGGUACCCAAAGAAUAAGCACCGGCUAACUUCGUG
rnacentral:rRNA from 1 species